GCCGUUGUUUCUUGGAUCUUACUUUACUCGGAUAACUGUGGUAAUUCUAGAGCUAAUACGUGCAGCGGAAGCUCCGACCUCGCGGAAGGGGUGCAUUUAUUAGACCAAAACCGAUCGAGCUCCGGCUCGUAACCUGGUGACUCUGAAUAACUUUGCAGAUCGCACGGUCCUAGCACCGGCGAUGUAUCUUUCGAGUGUCUGCCCUAUCAACUUUCGAUGGUAGUUUAUGCGCCUACCAUGGUUGUAACGGGUAACGGAGAAUAAGGGUUCGACUCCGGAGAGGGAGCCUGAGAAAUGGCUACCACAUCCAAGGAAGGCAGCAGGCGCGCAAAUUACCCACUCUCAGCUCGAGGAGGUAGUGACGAAAAAUAACGAGACGGUUCUCUUUGAGGCCCGUCAUCGGAAUGGGUACAAUUUAAACCCUUUAACGAGGAUCUAUUGGAGGGCAAGUCUGGUGCCAGCAGCCGCGGUAAUUCCAGCUCCAAUAGCAUAUACCAAUUCUGUUGCUGUUAAAAAGCUCGUAGUUGGAUCUUUUCCGAGGGCUCGGUCCGUCUCGAGGAUGUGCACCGGGUUCCGAGGAUUUACGAAAGCUGGUCUUCGCGGGGUCCUCUUCGCUGAGUGCCUCGUGUGACUAGCGCGUUUACUUUGAAAAAAUUAGAGUGCUCAAAACAGGCGAUACGGCCCGAAUAGUGGUGCAUGGAAUAAUGGAAUAGGAUCUCGGUCCUAUUUUGUUGGUUUUAGGGGCGUGAGAUAAUGAUUAAGAGGGACGGACGGGGGCAUUCGUAUUGCGGCGUUAGAGGUGAAAUUCUUGGAUCGCCGC
rnacentral:rRNA from 1 species